AAUAGAUACCCCGGUAGUCCACGCCGUAAACGAUGAGUGCUAAGUGUUAGAGGGUUUCCGCCCUUUAGUGCUGCAGCAAACGCAUUAAGCACUCCGCCUGGGGAGUACGGUCGCAAGACUGAAACUCAAAGGAAUUGACGGGGGCCCGCACAAGCGGUGGAGCAUGUGGUUUAAUUCGAAGCAACGCGAAGAACCUUACCAGGUCUUGACAUCCUUCGCCACUUCUAGAGAUAGAAGGUUCCCCUUCGGGGGACGAAGUGACAGGUGGUGCAUGGUUGUCGUCAGCUCGUGUCGUGAGAUGUUGGGUUAAGUCCCGCAACGAGCGCAACCCUUGAUCUUAGUUGCCAGCAUUCAGUUGGGCACUCUAAGGUGACUGCCGGUGACAAACCGGAGGAAGGUGGGGAUGGACGUCAAAUCAUCAUGCCCCUUAUGACCUGGGCUACACACGUGCUACAAUGGACGGUACAAAGGGCUGCAAGACUGCGAAGUCAAGCCAAUCCCAUAAAACCAUUCUCAGUUCGGAUUGCAGGCUG
rnacentral:rRNA from 1 species